UACGGAGGGUGCAAACGUUGCUCGGAAUUAUUGGGCGUAAAGCGCACGUAGGCGGACCAUCAAGUCGGAUGUGAAAGCCCUCGGCUUAACUGAGGAAGUGCAUCCGAAACUGAGUAGCUAGAGUACGAAAGAGGGUCGCGGAAUUCCCGGUGUAGAGGUGAAAUUCGUAGAUAUCGGGAGGAACACCGGUGGCGAAGGCGGCGACCUGGGUCGACACUGACGCUGAGGCGCGAAAGCGUGGGGAGCAAACAGG
rnacentral:rRNA from 1 species